AAAGCAGAUUGUCUACCCAAUGAACCUGAAAGUAAAAGACUUGUAUUAUUUUCUGCUAGCCCCAACACUUUGCUACCAGCUGAAUUUCCCACGGCUAAAGCACUGCAGGCAUGGCUAUAUCGUUAAGAGGCUGCUUGAAAUGGUAUUUCUCUUUCAUCUCAUGCUGGGGCUAAUUCAGCAGUGGAUCGUACCAAACAUACAUAAAUCAAUGAAGCCCAU